CGUGGGCUUGUAAUCCAAGAGGAGGCACCAAGAAGAUAGAAUGAAUUAGGCUGGGUUUAGUUAGUGGAAGGAUAAUGGGCUGUUGUCGUCGGGAUCUAAAUUGGUCAAUGACCAUCGCCUUUUUUAUUACCUGCAUUUAAAUCAAUUUUGUACUGUAAUAUUAUUACUCUUGGCCUGGGUUUUGAAUUCUCGCUGUUCUUUUCGCGUGUUAUUUAACAGCGCUCGCUCUGGGUUCAAUAACUUCCUCUGUGUUGUUUCUUCCUUUUCUAUCGAGGGGAGGAGGGACUCAUACGAGUUCGGUUUCUUUUGGCUGGCUGCUUUCUGGCGGGUCUGGGUUCAGCUUAGAUGCCCUGAUCGUACGGUGGACCUCAUUCUUCAUUGGUGAGUGGGGCUGCCAUCAUUGUACAUUAAAUGCACGCCCCACCUGCCAUGGCCUUUGCCCUCUUGGUUGAAUGAAAGAGUGGGUUUUGGUUCCUGGGAUUUCACACCCUGUUCUCUCCUGACCAGCUGGUCUGAUUGAGUGCUGCUCCACCUCUCUUCUCCCUCUUCUAAUUCGGUUGGGAUGUUGUCAGGAUAUUGCCAAUUACAUGCAUGAUCACAAUGAUGCAGAGGAAUCCGUGAUGCACUCAUUCAAGGUUUGAACAUCAUUAGUUUGUGUGUGAUGAUUCACUUCUAAUCCUCUAUAAUGGAGACUUGAAAAACAUCAUUUAAUGGGAAUGGCAUGUUAACCAUUUCCUUUCAUCCUUCCACAUUAUUGUGGUGGAAUAUAUAAUAGCAUAAAUAGUUGCAGCUUCCAAUAGCCUCGCUAAACAUGUUGCCAUUCCUUUUGAUGGCUUCUGAGAGGUUGUCAGACAAUUUCCUAGGAAGAAGUGAAGAAGUGUCGGCUGCUGAAAGGUUACGAGGUUACUUCAUUGGGGUUGAGCCUUUUGGUUGCGAAUAUGAGGUGGCCUUCUAUUAAUGCAUUUGACAGGGCAUUUAGCAUUUUGUGUUUGUUUCUAUCAGUUUAGGGCUAUUACGAUGCCGCCACUAUGAAGGCUUCAGUAGGGGUUGCUUUUUAAGGAGGCAAUUGGCUCUCCCUAUUGGUUCUUCGGUUGAAAAGAUUUUGGCAGAUUCUUACUGAUUAUCAUCCUUUCAGCUGAUUUCAGUUUGGUAUGUCAUGUGAUAAAUUCUUUUAGGUAAAUGAUGCAUACCAGCAACAACCUGGUUACCCCACUAGAGUGUGUUCAAGUAGCAUUAUAGCUAAGGAAAUUUGAUUGUGUCAUGUAAUUUGAACUGCCAUUGUAGUUUAAACUUAUUACCUCCACCUGGUACAAUCAAACUGUAAUAUAUGACCUUUCCACUGUUGUUUCUGGUUUGCAUCAGUUACUCAUAAUUCAUUGAAUUAAGUGGGGCAAUUUGCAUCCCAGAUAUCUGUCGGUGCUUAUGACAGUUCACACGAUACAAAGGUAAAUUUCAUUGACUUGCAAUAUUUAUCAAGAAAAUAGAAGGUCCACGACUUGCUUGCUAGAGACUAGGUGAAUCAGGUUCAUCAUGCUUACAAGCUGCUGAUUGGCUAGCGAACUUGGUUUUUUAAAAGGCCACUGGGAAAAGCUGCUACGGAUGCUCCCUCUUCUGGUUUAAUCCCUGUCUUAUUUUAUGAUUUUAUUGGGAGUAUAUCUUUAUUUAUUAAUUGCAUUUGCUUUAACUUUGUAUAUCAAACAUGCAGAGCAUGGAUUCAAAUUUAAUAGACAGUAAAAGGCAGGGAGCGUGCUAUAUAUAUUGCAAAAAUCAAGAAUUAUGUGAUCUUCAUAUAUAUACACGUAGCCAUGUCAACCCAAUUAAGCUUGUAAUGCAGCUUCAAAUGAGGGAACUAGAAAGAAUGUUUGAUGAAGUA